GGGGAUGUUUUGGUUUUGACAGCAUUGAUGCGGGACGGUAAGCACGCCGUGAGUCGGAGGCCCUCACGUAAAUCUCAGUUUCCGAAACAAUUAGUUGGCAACAACUCUUAUGCACUCGCUGCUUAAUUGACCAAGUCAAUUAGCUCAAUCCGGUCCGCCAAGGCUGCGGGCUGGACGAGUAUCCCUCCGGGCUUUAGGCCGGUUAUGUCCGGAAUCAGGGGUAUCAUCCAAACCGGAUGCGCGGGGUAAUGUCUCUGACUCCCCGUCAAGUCGUAGAGAAUAAGCUUCAGGUGGCCCGUCUUCCGGCAGCCUGUCGCCGACAACCAAAGGAAGAAUAAGCGUGUAGAAAGCUGCCUUGUGCGGUGUUUGGACGGCGGUUCGAGUCCGCCCAUCUCCACU
rnacentral:tmRNA from 1 species